GUGAGCCCCAAGGAAGUCAGCCCUGGACACGUCACUUGCUUCACAGCUGGGCGUGUAUCCUCGGUCUCCCCGAGACUGCAGACACAGGAGGAGGCUGAGGCCCCACCCCGACAUGCCCACACCCACCCCCAGCCACCCCAGGACAGACUCGGUCUCCUGCUGUGCCUGUCUCCUCUGUGGCAGAGCCCUUCGCCCUCCACCUGGCGAAGCUCCCUUAUCUGCCCUGUGGUAGGCAGUAUGCCCCUCCAAAAUGUCAGCAUCCUCACAUUAGGCUCCCAGGCACGGGGAACUCGAGCUACUCCUCAGCGGACCUUGACAUGUGGAGGUUGUCCUGGAUCAUCUGUGUGGCCCAGGGUGACUGCAGGAUUCGUGGAGAGGGAGGUGCGUCAGAGAGGGUGUGGACGUGAAGCAGGGCAGGUGCUGCCAGGCGACCGCCGCUGGACCUGCCGCAGCUGCAAGAAGACGCUCCCCUCAAACCUCCCAGGGAAACGCAGGCUGUGGACACCUCGAUUUCAGCCUAGCGUUGCUAUGGGAACUGGGCUGAGGUCCUUGCAGCAACCUUGAUCUACGGGUUUCAGGCCUGGGCAGGGGCGCAGUGAAACGGGGUGGUCGGAGCUACUGCCCAUGACGUGGUCAGAUUCACACGGUGACACCGGGGACUGGCUCCCCACAGAUGCUGGAUGCAGGUCCCUGCAGGGCCCUCGGCUUCGCCUCCUCUUACCUCAGUUUCCCCAUCUCUGCAAUGGCAGCACUUGGGCCAUUGUCAAGUCACCAAAGCCACCUGCAGGCGGGCUCCAGAGACGUGCUUCCCUCUCAGACCCCACUCCAGCCCUGACAGGAUACUGAUGGCGCCCAGCCAGAGGCUGGAAUGCUUCCUGCGUGGGGAAAUGUUGGGUUAAAUAUUGGGAUAUAUUGGGUGGAUAUAUUGUGUUAAAUAAAAUAUAUGAUUCAAAUUAG
rnacentral:lncRNA from 1 species